GGUCGAACUAGGAAAAGGUGCAGUGUGCAAGGUGGUUGUUUUGCAGCUGUCCGAGAUGACAACGUGUGCACAACGUGUGCAGAAACACUAUAAAGACUGAAUCACGAGACACGCAGUCAUUUUCCAACUACGCCACGGCGCCCUUUGUGUUCGUGACCUACCUAGACGCUACGAGGGAAGACAGACAAGAUGCCAGACCCCUGCUGUGCUGACUGUAAGGGAUGUGGCAGUGCCGGCUGCAAGUGUGGCUGUGACUGCUGCAAGUGUUGUGCCUCUUGCCCUGGCUGUGACCCUGGCUGCAACAGUUGUGGCUGUGACUGCUGCAAGUGCUGUGCCUCGUGUGACGGUUGCAAGUCUGGCUGUACCACCUGUAGCUGUGACUGCUGCAAGUGAAGAGAAACAACUUAUGCACACCACAGGACACCGUGGUUGACUGGCUAGUUUGGACAUCAACAGCAUCGUGUACAUUCCAAUAUCUAGCUGGCAUGUUAUACUCUAAAAUCUAACUUCCAAUAUCUUGUAUCUUUAUAUAGGCCACAAAGUAAAGGAUAACUGUCUAUAUCGCGAUAGCACAGCAUGCAUUUUCGACACAAAGUAUAUUUUCUAUCCUUUUAGUUUUAGGAAUUACUUGUGAGAAAAAUUGAAAUCAAACUAUUUAAAAUGUUUUAUUCAGACAGGUUUUAAGAAUUCUGAAAUGUAAUGCUUAUGCUCUAUUUUUUAGCACUGAUGCUUUAAUGAUGCUUUAUUCAGGAAAUCUAAUGUUGCAAAUUAACUGAAGAUCUAGGAAUAAAGAAACAUACACUGCUUUAAAAGCUGAAUAGGACUUCAGUGAAUUGAAACCAUACUUAGUAAUGGGAAAUAUGUAAGAAUUUGACUGAAAUCAGAUGUACUUAUAACUUAAUGUCUGUAUAAAAAUAAAUUUCUUUGUUGCUAUGUCA